CCUACGGGAGGCAGCAGUGAGGAAUAUUGGUCAAUGGGCGCGAGCCUGAACCAGCCAAGUCGCGUGAGGGAAGACGGUCCUAUGGAUUGUAAACCUCUUUUGUCGGGGAGCAAAAGACGCCACGCGUGGCGUUCCGAGAGUACCCGAAGAACAAGCAUCGGCUAACUCCGUGCCAGCAGCCGCGGUAAUAUGGAGGAUGAGAGCGUUAUCGGGAUUUAUUGGGUUUAAAGGGUGGGCAGGCGGAAGAUCAAGUCAGCGGUAAACUAGAGAGGUGCAACCGCUUCGAGCCGUUGAUACUGGUUUUCUUGAGUGAGCGAGAGGGAUGCGGAAUGCGUGGUGUAGCAGUGAAAUGCAUAGAUAUCGCGCAGAACUCCGAUGGCGAAGGCAGCAUACCGGCGCUCAACUGACGCUCAGGCACGAAGGUGUGGGUAUCGAACAGGAUUAGAUACCCCAGUAGUC
rnacentral:rRNA from 1 species